UACGUAGGGUCCGAGCGUUGUCCGGAAUUAUUGGGCGUAAAGGGCUCGUAGGCGGUUUGUUGCGUCGGGAGUGCAAAUCCAGGGCUUAACCCUGGACUUGCUUCCGAUACGGGCAGACUUGAGGUAUUCAGGGGAGAACGGAAUUCCUGGUGUAGCGGUGAAAUGCGCAGAUAUCAGGAGGAACACCGGUGGCGAAGGCGGUUCUCUGGGAAUUACCUGACGCUGAGGAGCGAAAGUGUGGGGAGCGAACAGG
rnacentral:rRNA from 1 species